rnacentral:tRNA from 1 species
GAGAGAUGCCCGCGCACUAAGAACUGCUAAUUCUUAUUACCUUGGUUAAACUCCAAGGAUCACUCA